AAUGGACAAACAGCUGAAGAUCUUGCUUGGUCAUGUGGAUUUCCGGAAUGUGCUAAGUUUCUUACAACAAUUAAAUGUAUGCAGACAAUAAAAUCAAGUGAACAAUCUGACGGGGAUCACUGUGUUCCAGUGUUCAGACAGAAACGAAGUUUUGGAAGUACAGAAAAUACAAAUGGGAAAAGGAGGUGCUGGUAA
rnacentral:lncRNA from 1 species